UUUGAUGCUGGUUGCACUGCUGCUCCUCACUGUUCAUAUGAUGACUGAUCAGCAUGGUAAACUUCCAGGUUUUCACAACAACUCUACCUUCAAAGAGAUUCAUGUUUUCAUUUUGACUAGUAAUUCUGGGAUAAGGAUAUUGGUGUCUGUCUCUGCAUCCAGAGAGCAGAAUUAAGAAAUGGAGCCAAUGAAGCUCCCAUGCAAAUGGUGAAAAAUUCAGGCAACAUCUACAGACUUGGAGGGUUCUUGACUUCACAAAGCUGGAGUUUUAGACUAGAAGAUGAUUAUCACCUGAUCAGCAUUAAACAAGCAAUGUUUUGCGCAUUAGGUGUUUGGGGAAGAAAAGUGCAGGAGGAUGAACUUGCAGCCGUAGACACCAUAGAGGAGAAAGAAAGGGUUUGAGGAUUACAGGAAGCAGCAAAAAAAAAAAAGAAAAAUGGCAAAGGAAAAUUCGCCAGGUUAAAAAAGCCCAGAUACCAUAUACUAAAGAUUUAAAAAAAAUCUCUAUCAGCACAUUAUGUGUGUUAUAGGUGGUUGCAUAUUAUGUGGUAUCAGAUGAAAAUGGAAUGCAACUCUCAGCAUAUCACUUAUCUGUAACUCUGUGAACUGGUCCUUGGCUCAUCCUUGAGCUUUAUGUCGAUCAGCUGAUCCUUGAGUUCAAGCUGCAUGUCUACAAGGGACCACUAAUUGUUAUCAAAUGCAGCUUAGGUCUCCUCGUUGGAUGCAGUAUUUGGUUCUAUUAUUAGCUCCGCAAAUAUCUGCCCACCCCGAGUCGCGAUGCAGAUUGCAUAUAUACCACUGUUGUUUGUAUUUUCAACCACUUGGUUUAUCAAAAUUCUAAUACCAUAGAUCCAAAUGGGUAUCUCCGAA